rnacentral:lncRNA from 1 species
GCUCCAAUUCAACCCCUAGUCUGAGAACUUCUAUAUGCCAUGGGUGCUGCCCUAAAAAGACAAAAAAAAAAGAAAAAGAAAAAGCACAAUAUUUAAACUGAUGGGGCAGUGAGGGCACUUGAGAUGGGAAUGAGCAUCUACUUGGAGUGAUUGGAAUAUAACUAGAGCAGGGAGCUCCAGUUGGGAAAGAGUGGGAAAGAAGAUUAGAGAACUAAGUAGAACUUUAUCAAAUAUAAUACUUAUAUUUACAAUGCAUCUUUAUGAACAAUGACUUGGAGCAGGAAGUCAGGGUGCCAGUGGACCACAACAUUGUCUUAAUUCAAGGAUGGCAUUAUCCAGUUAAGCAAGAUGUUUUAGGUCACAAUGAUGGCAAGAAAAAAGAAUAAUUUGCUUUUUUUUUUUUGUCUUUUUAGGGCUGCACUGGUGACAUAUGGAGGUUCCCAGGCUAGAGGUCAAAUUGGAGCUGUAGCUGCCAGCCUAAACCACAGCCACAGCAGCAGAAGAUCCAAGCUUCAUCUGCGACGUACACUACAGCUAACGCCAGCGCUGGAUCCUUAACCUACUGAGUGAGGCCAGGGAUUGAACCCGCGUCCUCAUGGAUUCUAGUAGGGCUUGUUAAUCACUGAGGCAUGACAGGAACUCCAGAAAAAAAGAAUAAUUUGAAAACAUUGCAAAGGGACUUCAUUGGAGGGCAUACAUUAUCUUGCAACUCUGUUUUGUAUAUUCACAAAUACGGGAAAGUUGGGAGGGAGGAGAAAGAUUUCAUUUUGAUAAAAAAAAUUAUCUGAAGAUUUCCAACUAGGGAAAGCCAGAAAGUGUGUGUGUGUGUGUGUGAACACCAAGUUACUGAAGGGGCCUAGAUGAAGCAGAAAGCCAGGCUGAACACAAAAAUGGAUCUGAAGAGUGAGAGUUCACUCAGCUUUUUCAUUUCUGUGAAGAUUUACUAUUUCUCAGAUAAUAGUAAUGCUACUAUAGCCCCUACAAUGCUAUUACAGGUAGGUCAUUAUGUAUCUGUUGAAGACAGAGAUUCAGUAUUAUAAUUAUGGGAUAAAACCAAAAGUGGAGAGUUAAACUCUGAAGUUAGGACAUAGCUCUGACUUAUUCACUCCUGUACUCCCAGGGCCUACCCCUGCUUGGGCACAGUUAUGUCUUCAGGGUUUUCCAGGAGGGAUGGGAGAAGGUCAAAUGCAAAGGCAAUUAGGAUCAGAUAACUUCCCUCUGAACCCCAUGAAUGGGAUUUAAUUCUAACUCAUUUAUUCCCUAAGCCUUCAGCAAGUACUGUGGAGAGCUUACCUUGUGAAAGGGUCUGGGAAUACAAAGUAAACAAUGAAAAAACCCAGCGGGGAGUUCCCAGUUUGAUGUGGUGGGUUAAGGAUCCAACGUGGCACAGCUGUGGUAGGUAGGUAACAGCUGAAGCUCAGAUUUGAUCCAUGGCCCAAGAACUUAUAUAUGCCACAGGUGUGACCAAGAAAGAAGAAAAAAAAAAUGCUUUGAUGGAGCUGAUAUUCCAGGGGAGAGAAACAAGAAACAAAUUGUACAGCAUCUGAAGUGGUGGGAAAUUUCUUUUUUAAUCUUGUUAGGGCCGAAUGCAGGUGGCACAUGGAAGUUCCAUAUGCCACAGCCACUGCCGCACCAGAUCCUAGCUGCAUUCGUGAUCUAUACCCCAGCUUGUGGCAAAGCCGGAUCCUUAACCCAUUGAGCAAAGCCAGGGAUCAAACCCGUGUCCUUAUGAAUACUAGUUGGGUUCAUAAACCGCUAAACCACAACAGGAACUCCAGGUGGUGGGAAAUAAAAUGGGGAAAGACAUAGCACGGAAGGAGGGAAAAGUUAAGUAUAAAUGCUGCAAUUUUAAAAUAGCUUAGUUGGGGAAGGCCUUACUGAGGUAACAUUUGAAGAAAACUUGGAGGUGAAGGAGCACUUCCUGAGAAAAGUAGAGGGGAUGGCACAUGUCUGGGCCUGUGAUGGGAGCCUGCCAGGUGUGUUCUGGCGGGGAGAGGGAGAAGGGUAGGAAGUGAGGGGCCACAGGCAGAUCUAGGGUCUUAUGGGACCUUGUAAGGACUUAAGUGAGAGCGCUUCGAGCAGAAAAGUGAUUUGAUCAUUUAAGCGAGAUCACUCUGGUCACUAUGUUGAGAGUAGCCUGAAGUGAGGCAGAGGCUAAAUCAGGACAGGUGGGGAGUCUAUUGUAACAACCCAGGCGAGAAUGGACUGUGACUGGGAACCACAGUGGUAACCGUGGGGUCGGUGGGAAGUGGUUAGAUUCUGGGUGUCUAGGCAAUAGAAGCAGGAUGAGGAUGUGGGGGCGGAGGUUUGGAGGUCAGAGUUUCCUUUGGGACUCAGUACAAGAUGCCUCUUCAACCAAAUAGAGAUAUCAAGGAGGUGUUUAAGAUAUUGAUGAGAGGAAAUUCUGUUCUCUACCCAAGGUCCUAGUUAUCAGAGCCGGCAAAAUAAUUGACCAGCAGGAGAGAAAAGUUUAUUAUGCAUGGAGGCGUACUCUAGAGUAGGUCCCCAAACAGCGAGAGGUAAAGGGUUAUAUGCCAGCUUAAUAAAGGGCAGCAGAGACAGGGGAAGUUUAGGUCUUCCAAGGAUGGAAAGUUCUGAUAGGGCUUACUGAAAUGAGUUGAGCUGAGUUUUGGAAUGCUUGAGGUUGGUCACUUCCCUGACAGGACACUUGCUGGGAAGGGCAGGUCACUGAUUGUCAUGAAGCUCUUGUUUGAGUCAAAUAAGAGAAGUCAGAUAAGUUCUUUCAGCAUCUGUUAAAGCUCAGAUGUUCUCACUUUGAAGUCAUCUUUGCACUAUUUCUGGUAUUUUAAAAAAUCACUAUUAUGAGUCUGGAGUUGGGGAGAGGUUAUGACUAGGAAUGUAAGUUUGAGAAUCAUCAGCGUAUAAAUGGUAUGUAAAACCAAGAGAAUGAUGCAGCAAUGUGCAAGAAACUAGAGAUUAUCAUACUAAGUGAAGUAGGUCAGAAAGACAAAUACCGUUUCACUUACAUGUGGAAUCUGAAAUAUGGCACAUGAGCAUUCCCUGAUGGCCUAGUGGAUUCAGCAUUGUCACUGCUAUGGCUUGGGUUUGAUCCCUGGCCUGAGAGCUUUCACAUGCUAUGGGCAUAGCCAAAAUAAAUUAAUUAAAUUAAACAUGGCACAAAUGAACCUAUCUAUAAAACAGAAGCAGACCCACAGACAUAGAUAACAGGUUUGUGGUUGCCAAGGGGGAGAGGGGAGGGAGAGAGACGGAGUUUGGGGUUAGUAGAUGCAAACUAUCACAUUUAGAAAGGUCCUACUGUAUAGCACAGAGAACUAUAUCCAAUGUCCUAGGAUAGAUCAUGAUGGAAAAGAAAAUUUAAAAUAAUAUGUAAAUAUAUAUAUACACACACAGAAAUAUAUGUGUAUAUAUUUGUAUAACUGAGUCUGUUGUACAGCAGAAAUUGGCACAAAAUUCUGCCAACUAUAAUUUUAUAAUCAACUCUAAUUUAAAAAUUUUAAAAAAGGGACCUAGUAUAAACAGAAAAGUUCACGGUACUCUACCAUGACAUCUGUGGAGAUGAAGAGAAACCAAGGAAGACAGAGGGCACAACCAGCAAAGUGGGAAAGUAUGGCAUCCUGGAAGCCAAGAGGAGCAGGGUGUUUCCAAGAGGGGAGUAAUUGCACAACAAGUGAGAUGUUUGAGACUUAACCCUUGGAUUUAACAACAUGGCAGUCAUGGUGAUCUUGAUAGUGCAGUUCAGUAGACUGGUUGGAUUGGAUUUCGUAAUGAAUGAAGACUGGAGGCAGCAAUUGUACAAAACUCUCAAGGAUUUUGCUGAAAAAGGAGAGAAGAUAUAGCAGGGACAGUAGAUGGGAUCAAAAGAAAGACUUUACGAUCUUUACGAGAAACAACAUACCAUGUUGGCAUUCAGAGGAGAGAUCCUAGUGGAGAUGGGAAAACUGAUGAUUCAAGAAAGCAUAUUGGUGGACCAACAUCCUUAUGUGUUAGGAGGGAUGGACUCCAGGCCCUGAAGAGGUGAGAGGAGAUGGAUCCUGGAGCCUGAAUGGGCCCUUGGCUUUGUAGGCAUCUGGCCAGGAGAAAAGGUAGACUGCAUGGAUGCAAAUGCAGGUACGAGGCUAGAUUGCCUCAACAGACACCUGACUGAAUGAGUCUGCGGUUUGUUAGGGCAAAAGAAUGUUUAGACCAUUAUAUUCUAACAUCACAUAUCAACUCUCCCUUCCAGAUCUUAAAAUUAUUUCUUUUUUUUUUUUUUUUUUUUUUUAGGGCCAUGCCCACAGCAUAUGGAGGUUCCCAGGUUAGGGGCCUAAUCAGAGCUGCUGCUGCAUCUGCAACCUACGCCACAGGUCACAGCAACGCUGGAUCCUUAACCCACUGAGCAAGGCCAGGGAUUGAACCUGAAACCUCAUGGUUCCCAUUGGAUUCAUUUCUGCUGCACCACAACAGGAAUUCCUUAAAUAAUUUAUUAGUCCUAACUAAUAGAUAUAAAAAACUGGUGAUUUUGGUUUUAGACAUAAAGAAUACAGAGCAAUUUUUUUGGGGGGGGGCUUCUGUCAUUUUAGGGCCGCACCAGCAGCAUAUAGAGGUUCCCAGGCUAGGGGUCGAAUCAGAGCUAUAGCUGCCAGCCUAUACCACAGCCACAGCAAUGCUGGAUCCCAGCUGCAUCUGUGACCCACACCACAGUUCACGGCAACGCCGGAUCCUUAAUCCACUGAGUGAGGCCAGGGAUCGAACCCAUGUCCUCAUGGAUAAAUACCACUGAGCCACAGUGGAACUCCAAAAGUGAAAAAUCUAAAGAGUUUUUGGAGGACAAAUGAAGAGCCGUAGGAUAUAAAAUUUGGGUAAGAGAUUUGAGCUUGUCAACAGAAGAGCAUCAGUUGAAGGCCUGAAAAGGGAUGACCACCUGUAAAGAAGAAGAGUGGCCUUGUAUUACAGUCUGGAAAACAGUGGGCUGGGCUGGACCAGGAAAUGUGUGGCCUAGGGUAAAAGAUUGAUUAAAAGUUGUAGCAUAAUUUGGUCAUGAUUUAAAUUAGCCUAACCUUUUAAGAACAACAAUGAAAUAGUCACCUCUAGAAAGCCAAAGGGGGAUGUGGAAUGCUGCCUCUAUGCUGCUUCCAGUUAUUUCUGCCUCUUGAUAUUCACUCCCCUGUGUAAUCCUCUCUCCUUGAGUGUGGACUGGACCUACUGCUUGAUUCACUUCCAAUUAAAAGAAUAUGACCACAUGAGCAAUGGGAUGUCACUCCUGAAAUUAGGACCUGCCCCCUCUCUCUUUCUCGGGACAAAACAAGUGUCAUCACUUUUCUUUCUUAUACCUCUACCGCCCUUAAUUCUAGCUGUCUUGUACUACUCUUCCCCAAACACAAGUUCAGCUAAAUUGAUCAGGAUGUUCCCAUUCUACUUUGACUUUUAAAAGAGAAAUAUGACCAUGUCAAAUGGAUAGAUUAAAAUAGAUUUAAGCCUCUGUUGGGGAAAAGCAUCUUAGGAACUUUGGAAAUGAGCCGUUUCAGAACCAUUCUACCAAUCCUGGACUUGAGGUGCAAUAGCCCCCAGCUAACCUAGCUCGUUUCAGACCAGCCCCCACAAUCUUGAACUGGUUCUUUCCAAUCCUGUUACUGUUGGUCCUGAAGUGAGUGGUUUUUGUAAUCGGACAUGGCUGCUUGGUGCAUCCUGUCUGAGGUCAAACGGAGAUUAUGUCAGCAACUGAGGACCUUUUGAGUCCUGAGCUUUUAGCCUUGCAGGGCUUGUCCCCAUACUUGUGAACAGAGGUACAGUUAUACUACCUCUUAAAUUUUGUUAGUAUAUUAUGCUGUUUCACAUUAUACCCUUAAAGCUCUAGAAUUUAGCAUUGUCAGUGAAAGUUUAAGUGUUAAUAAAAACACUAUUAUACUCCCCAAAAUAGAUUUAAACAUUUUAGGCAGUAUAGAAAUUAAGAGUUUUAAAGAAAUCCAUGUGUGAAACUGAGGAAUGCUAGGCCAAAAUAUGGUUACAAAUGACCCCUGGGCAGAAUAUCAUCUUACAAAUGUGACAUUUGUUCCACAAAAGACUACUGAGGAUUUGGAGAAGCUGGGAGUUGAUGACUCUUACCAUUACUUUGGGUUAUAACAAGAGAAAGGAUCAGUAAAGACUAAAAUAUAUGAAAGAGAACAUAGUUUUAGCAAGGGAUCAGAGUUGG